rnacentral:rRNA from 1 species
AUGGCAAGCGAACCUGGAGGAUCACAGAGGAGGGGGGCCAAGGAGAGUACGGACGACCUGCUGGCCCGGUUGAACUUGCAGGAAGAAGAAGAAGAAGAUGACUUCGUAUGGGAGGAUGAGCUUCUAGAUCUAUUGGCGCCGGCCAAGUGGUUGGCGAUUGCUAGGGUUCACACACCCAAAACUUUUAGCCCGUGCGCUCUGUAUGGUGACAUGCGCGCGGCAUGGAACCUGGCUAGACCGCUGGUUUGGAGGAGAGUGAACGACAACCUGUUCACGGCGCAAUUCGGGUGUCUAGCGGAUUGGAUCAAGGCCAUGUUUGAAGGUCCAUGGCUCUUCAGGGGACAGGCAAUGAUCAUGUAG